GGAUUCCCCUAGUAAUGGCGAAUGAAGCGGGAACAGCUCAAAUUUGAAAUCUCCGUCGCUUGCGACGGCGAAUUGUAGUUUCGAGAAGCACUUUCUAGGCGAUUCGGGGCCGUCCAAGUUGCUUGGAACAGCACGUCAUAGAGGGUGACAACCCCGUCUGUGGCGGAACCGGCCGCUCACGAUGUGCUUUCAACGAGUCGGGUUGUUUGGGAAUGCAGCCCAAAAUGGGUGGUAAACUCCAUCUAAAGCUAAAUACUGGCACGAGACCGAUAGCGAACAAGUACCGUGAGGGAAAGAUGAAAAGCACUUUGAAAAGAGAGUUAAAAAGUACGUGAAACCGUUAAAAGGGAAACGAAUGAGGUUAGCAAUGCGCUCUGCGAGAUUCAGCCGGUGGCUGGGCUGGGCGGGCGGUUUGCGGAUCUGAAUGGACCGCGGCCGUUCGGGUCGGUCCCUCGACCGUCGCACUUCUCGCGAGCGCGCGUCAGUGUCGGUUGGAACUGGGUCUUAAAGGCGUCGGGAAGGUAGGUCAGUCCCUUCGGGGUCAGACUGUUAUAGACCGGCGUUUUCAUGGCUCGGAUCCUACCGAGGUGCCGCGGCACGUGCCUCUUCUGGCUGGGGUCCCGUCGGUCCGGUCGGUAGUCGACUGUGGUGGACUGCGUGCAGUGCAUCGCGACUGCUGCCGGUCGCUUCGGCGGUGACCUCACACUACGUGCCCAGGACGCUGGCGGUCACAUGGCCUCAUCCGACCCGUCUUGAAACACGGACCAAGGAGUCUAACAUGUGCGCGAGUCUUUGAGUGAUCGAAACUCGCAGGCGCAAUGAAAGUGAAGGCGGCUUCGGCCGCUGAGGUGAGAACCCCUCCUCGUGGGGGGCGCAUCAUCGACCGACCUAUUCUACUCUUAGGAAGGUUUGAGUAAGAGCGCAUCUG
rnacentral:rRNA from 1 species